AAUCCCCCGCAUGACUGGCGGAACCGUGGAGCACCACGAGGGAGUGCGGGGUUGAACAUGCCGGCCGCCUGGGCACCUGUG
rnacentral:ncRNA from 1 species